rnacentral:ncRNA from 2 species
AACGUUCAUCUUUCGACCGCCGCUGAUAGAGACAGCCGAAAGACGGAAGUAGGGGAUAUUCCCGAAGGAACGCACA